rnacentral:rRNA from 1 species
AUUGAACGCUGGCGGCAGGCCUAACACAUGCAAGUCGAGCGGAGCGGCGGACGGGUGAGUAAUGACUAGGAAUCUGCCUGGUAGCGGGGGAUAACGUCCGGAAAUGGGCGCUAAUACCGCAUACUACCAGAUGAGCCUAGGUCGGAUUAGCUAGUCGGUGGGUUAACGUCACAACAAGGCGACUAUCCGUAACUGGGCGCAGAGGAGGAGCAGUCACACUGGAACUGAGACACGGUCCAGACUCCUACGGGAGGCAGCAGUGGGGAAGAUGGGACAAUGGGCGAAAGCCUGAGGCAGCCAUGCCGCGGGUGUGAAGAAGGUCUGCGGGUUGUAAAGCACUUUAAGUUGGGAGGCGUUACCAACAGAAUAAGCACCGGCUAACUUCGUGCCAGCAGCCGCGGUAAUAC